UUGUACUCAGAGAGAGAUAAGUUUUAUUCAUACUUAUUGAUAUUAUCCACUUAUCCACUUUAAUAUUUACGCGUUGGUCAAUAAAUUGUUUGAGAAAUAUAACUGGUUCACACUAUCUUUGUUGCGUGUAGAAAUAGAACCAAAAUUAAUAGUUAUUCUUUCGGGACCACGCACGUAACAUGCACAAUGAUCAAAACAACAAAAAGGCGAGCUUACGGGGAUGUGUAAUCCAUUUUAAAGGUGAAAAUGGGCCAUUGACUGAUUUUACCGAGGCAUCUUUGAAAAAAGUUUUACAUUGUCCCAAGCUUUGGUUACUAUACAAUGGUGAGCAAAAAGACAUCGCUGAAAAGAACAAAAAGUUGAUGAAAAAAAUUCAGUCCAUGAAAAGUCCUUUGGCUGAGUACCGUGGAGAGUUAAAGUACCAUAGAAAUUGCUAGGCAAAGUUCACCAAUGUUGGCCUGAUUAGACGGGCUGAAAAAAGAAUGAGCAAAAAGUUUGAAGCUUCAGCAGCCACUGUCAAUGAAAACUAUAUACAAGAAAAUAAGUCGACAGAUGUAAAUGAGCCUCACACGAAACUGCUACGAUCAUCCUCGUUUUGUCAUGACAGUUCUAAACCUCCGAUAAGAACUAUAGCAGUUUUGCCAUCAAUAUGCAUAAUAUGCAAGCAAGAAAAGUCCUUCGCCACUCAAUCGGUAAAUAAUGUAACAAAUAAACCAAUAUGUUACAGGUAUUCCAAUACCUGUUUUGUAACAUCAUGUUCUGUACUUAAUCUACCUACAAUAUGAUUUUACUUUUGUUGUCUUACUGAUGGUGAGGAAUGUCCAAUUUUUCUACAAUUUGGUAAAGAUCUUUAUUUAUUGACAAGAGUUCAGCGAUAGUUAAUGCUUCAAGGUACACUCUCUUUGCAUCUGGCAAGUGUUCGGACGAAUGCCUUCCCCCGAAUGCAGAUAGCAUGCUUUUGCACAUUAAGAGAGCCAACUACCAAGCAGCCAUCUGGAAGAAUAGUUUGCAAUCGCACAUUAAUGUUCAACCUCCUGUGAGCCAUGGAUGGCACAUGAAAAAUGGUCAGUUAGAGAUUCUUUGGAUGACUGGACCAUCUGCUCCAGGUACACAGUGUGUACAGCAGGAGCUAGAUGGCGACCAAAGGAUUCUGAGUAUCUCAUGUGCCAAUUUAUUAUCGUUAUAUUAUUUACACAAAAAGAUGAAGGACUCCUUCGCAAUUCAAUUUCAAGAAUUGUUUUUUCAUUUUUUAGUCUUUUUGUCCAUCAAGCAGCUAUGGAAGAUUAAUAGCUAAACAUAUCAUUUCAAAUUAACUUAGAAAGAUUGAUCCUUAAUCAUUAUUUAGCACCGUUCUUUUGAAUAUGAGCCAGCAAAUUUAGCGAAUUUCACACAAAACAAUAUGGCGGAUAUAGAAAAUAUAUGUCGAAUUUUUGAUGGCUCUAGCUCUCUUGAUUGCAAGUUUUCGGGAUGUAAACAGGCAGAUUUAUGUUAAGUGAGUACAUAUCAGUACAUCUAUGUUGUUUUUACUUAGUCAUGAAUUUCUGCAUCUCAACCUGAACAAUAAUCCACCAUAGGAUACGACCUAACAGUUGUUAAAGCUGUAAUAAAUCUGGUAUGGUUCACAGUUGCAAAAAAUGCUCAGAAAAUGAUUCUCUACAAGAAUAUCUUAAAACAUUGCUGGAAGAGUCUUUCAACAAUGGCAAAAACAACCUGUUGAUCAAAAAUGGCGAAGAAAUCUUUCAACUUUUGUAAAUUUAUCGAGUUGCUGGUAGAGGCUAUAGAUAACCUAACGUCAUACUCAUACAUCGUUACAUAUGAAACGAAAUUUCUUAAGAAAGAAAGGAGGAACUUGGCAAUAUUUGAGCAUUGAUUCUUGGUUCCUUGAGAAAGUUUGCUUUUUAACCCACCAUAAUUGAAGCUCAAUAUUUUUUACGACGAAUUUCCUGUUUGAUACAAAGGCUACAGAAUACGUUCAAUUUGUUUGCAUAAAAAGCGAUAUUGGCAUUGAUGGAAGUUGUAUUUUGUUUGUUACAGGAAGCCACAGCAAGUUAGCGUAAAAUGACAUUGGCUGUACAGUUAAAAGAAAGGCACGUGCCAUAUUGGAACAAAUCACUUGAAUAAAAUUUUAGAUAUCUAUCAUGGUGUUAUUUCAAAGACAAGUAUUAAGAUGAAAGAAUGGAAAGCGUUCGAAUGGAUUUUGGAUGGGGAUAUUUGCUUCCAAUCAAACCAUACAAGGAGCACGAAGUUAUUACCUCUUCAAACCUACAAGGUCCGACAUUUUGCAAUACAAACAAACGGCAGAAGAUCAGGAACUUGAAGGCUCGUUUACAUCACAGGAGAGCAAUAUCCGGUCCUCCGAAUAACAUGAACACAGAGUCUUUGAGGGAUAGUACGUAAUUGGUGUGGCUCAGGAGUAAGUGGGUUGACAGAGAAGAAAAACAUGUGAAGAUGUAUAUCCUACAUGUACAUGCUAAAUCCAUUUGGAGCUGCAAAAAGUUUUCGUUCGCCAAAAGCGGAUAUCUGCCAUAGCGGAUCUAUAGUAGGAUAUCCACUAUAGCGGAACGAGAAAAAUAUUGACUGUGAGAGUCCGAUUGCUUAAUUAACACCAAUAUCGGACAAAUGAAUAAUUUUUAACCGUAGUUGCCAUUUGAUCUCGGCCAGCUGCAAAUGGCUAGCAAUUCAAAAUAGUUUAUAGCGUGCCUUUAAAUGUCCGAGAUAUGUUGAAAAAAUAGACCAGAACUAUGAGCAGAACUCGAAAUUUGACGUCUAAAAUCAUGAUUAUCAAAGUCAUAAUUUAACAAUCGCUCAACUUUUCAAGAUGCUUAUCUCAAGCUUUGCAUGUUUAGUAAAAAUCUUGUAAAAAUGAGAAAAAUCUGAAGUUUAGAGGUACACCCCAUGUUUCACGAUUAGCCGUGAAGUAAACCUUCACAUGAGGAUGAUUCACAUGGACCACACAGAGGAAUGAAUUUUGGAGGUCAUGAUCGUGUCAAGUGGCGCGAAAGUUCAUUGGUUAUUUUUUGUAAGGUAAAUGUUUGUUCGAAUCUUAUGCUGGAAUGGGAAUCAAAUCCAAAGAAUGCAAUAUCAAGUUUAUGGUCAAUCAUUGAGAAGUUUUUUUGAUUAAGUAGUAAUCUCUAAACGCAUCAAGUAAAGGGAAAGAAAUACAAAGACUACAAUCAAUGACUCUUUAAAAAGUCAAAUAUCUUGAUAAAUAACAGGGAGCGAAUUCCAAAUGUACAGUUCAUGUGUUUUAUUUUAAAUAUAUAUGAUACAAUCAAGACAACAUUGGGUGAUUAGAAGAACACUUGUUGAGAUGGGAGAUAGCCCCCAUUCAUCUGACUAAGCAAGUCAGUCAAGAAAAAUGAUGUUUUCUGAAGCAGUUGGUUGCUUGACAUGAUAUGUUUCUGUUUCAUGUACAUCAACUUUAUAUUAUUUUGAAAUAGAAUUUACAAUUUUGGUAAACAACAAAUCUUUGAUAUGUAAUUACUAAUUGUAUCCAUUACCUGUAUGUAAUAUAAGAAUUGAUCCAUGGAGGGUGCACUAGUUUGGAUUGUAUUUUGGUAGCUGUUUGCAAUUGCCAGACAUUUUUUAUUAAAUUUGGUUUCUCAUAAUGCCAUAAUCAGGGAUAUGUAUUUAGAAAGUGUGCUUCAAUAAACACAAAUCACAACUA